UACGAAGGGGGCUAGCGUUGUUCGGAAUUACUGGGCGUAAAGCGCACGUAGGCGGACAUUUAAGUCAGGGGUGAAAUCCCAGAGCUCAACUCUGGAACUGCCUUUGAUACUGGGUGUCUUGAGUAUGGAAGAGGUGAGUGGAAUUCCGGGUGUAGAGGUGAAAUUCGUAGAUAUUCGGAGGAACACCAGUGGCGAAGGCGGCUCACUGGUCCAUUACUGACGCUGAGGUGCGAAAGCGUGGGGAGCAAACAGG
rnacentral:rRNA from 1 species